CUAAGAAUAUUCCGCAAUGGACGAAAGUCUGACGGAGCGACGCCGCGUGGAUGAAGAAGGCCGAAAGGUUGUAAAGUUCUUUUGUUGGGGAAGAAUAACCAUGGGAGGGAAUGCCCGUGGGAUGACAUGAACCGACGAAUAAGCCCCGGCUAACUACGUGCCAGCAGCCGCGGUAACACGUAGGGGGCAAGCGUUGUUCGGAAUUACUGGGCGUAAAGGGCAUGUAGGCGGCCUUGUAAGCUUGGCGUGAAAGUCCACGGCUUAACCGUGGGAUUGCGUUGAGAACUGCGAGGCUUGAGUGACGGAGAGGGAGCUAGAAUUCCUGGUGUAGGGGUGGAAUCUGUAGAGAUCAGGAAGAAUACCAAUGGCGAAGGCAAGCUCCUGGCCGAUGACUGACGCUGAGGUGCGAAAGUGUGGGGAUCAAACAG
rnacentral:rRNA from 1 species